rnacentral:rRNA from 1 species
GCGACUAAGCGUACACGGUGGAUGCCCUGGCAGUCAGAGGCGAUGAAGGACGUGCUAAUCUGCGAUAAGCGUCGGUGAGGUGAUAUGAACCGUUAUAACCGGCGAUUUCCGAAUGGGGAAACCCAGUGUGUUUCGACACACUAUCAUUAACUGAAUCCAUAGGUUAAUGAGGCGAACCGGGGGAACUGAAACAUCUAAGUACCCCGAGGAAAAGAAAUCAACCGAGAUUCCCCCAGUAGCGGCGAGCGAACGGGGAGGAGCCCAGAGCCUGAAUCAGUGUGUGUGUUAGUGGAAGCGUCUGGAAAGGCGUGCGAUACAGGGUGACAGCCCCGUACACAAAAAUGCACAUAUUGUGAGCUCGAUGAGUAGGGCGGGACACGUGGUAUCCUGUCUGAAUAUGGGGGGACCAUCCUCCAAGGCUAAAUACUCCUGACUGACCGAUAGUGAACCAGUACCGUGAGGGAAAGGCGAAAAGAACCCCGGCGAGGGGAGUGAAAAAGAACCUGAAAC